UUUGCCGCCGUACCGCUGGUAGCCGGGGUACACCGCCAUUGACGCUGAAAAAUGCCACUAUUGGAGCCACUGUCCUUGCUCGGCCCCUGUUUCUGCUGCUGUUUACGCUGGUUUAGCCAUUGCCGCCACAACCCGUCUCGAAUUUCUUCUAAUUUCGACACUCAGAGGGUGCUGCUACUCUAAAUGAUUGGAAGAUGGUCAUCGCUGUUUGAAAAGAGCAAUGCAUCACAAUUGCCCCAUUUUCUUUGAGCAUGUAAAGUGGCUGGGAAUUCUGAGUUGAUUCUCUCAAUGGCCUGAAUGACUCAAGUAAAAUUACUGCAUUUGAUUUUGAUGGACUGAAUGACUCAAGUAAAAAUCUUAGAAUUCUGGAGAAGAUUGCCCAAAUAUUCAAAGAGGAUUUGAAGUUUGGUGGAGAAAAGCUUUCUCGAAGCAGAAUGGAGAGUAAGAAUAGACAAGACAAUUACGAAUUACAGCUACAACAGUUGAUAAUCCUUGAAGACAGACAGUCCCAGCAUGGUGGAAUUGACAGCAUUCUACUGGGUGUGUCUCCUUUUAACCUUCUCUUGAUCAUUUCAAUUUCUAUUUAAUUCCUCUGUGUUGACCAACAUUUCAACCUUGGUAGCUUACCUGUAAAGCUGCUUGUUUGAAAUCUGAUAGACUCUGUCUUCAUCCAUGAUUGAUUUACCUUGAACAAGUUAGCACCAUUGUAUUUUUUUUCCUUUUUUCUUUUGGCACUUUUUUGUUUGUUUGUUGUGCACAUAAUCUAAUCAUUUCAAUAGAAACAACCUAUGAAUAUAGAAUUUAUAGUUCAUGUGGGUACUUGGAAACAUUCUUCUUUUAUCAGUGUGCAUAGUCAUCGAUUUACACUUAGGCUGGUCAUAAUUUGGCUCUAUCUUGAGCUGACAACACUACACUCUUGAAGAAUGUUAUUUUUUUUAUUAUGAGACUGUUCUAUCUUCAUUAUGUAUUUAGGGG